rnacentral:rRNA from 1 species
GACGAACGCUGGCGGCGUGCUUAACACAUGCAAGUCGAACGGAAAGGCCCUGCUUUUGUGGGGUGCUCGAGUGGCGAACGGGUGAGUAACACGUGAGUAACCUGCCCUUGACUUUGGGAUAACUUCAGGAAACUGGGGCUAAUACCGGAUAGGAGCUCCUGCUGCAUGGUGGGGGUUGGAAAGUUUCGGCGGUUGGGGCUGGACUCGCGGCUUAUCAGCUUGUUGGUGGGGUAGUGGCUUACCAAGGCUUUGACGGGUAGCCGGCCUGAGAGGGUGACCGGCCACAUGGGGACUGAGAUACGGCCCAGACUCCUACGGGAGGCAGCAGGGGGGAAUAUGGCACAAUGGGCGGAAGCCUGAUGCAGCAACGCCGCGUGCGGGAUGACGGCCUUCGGGUUGUAAACCGCUUUCGCCUGUGACGAAGCGUGAGUGACGGUAAUGGGUAAAGAAGCACCGGCUAACUACGUG